rnacentral:lncRNA from 1 species
GUAAGCUGUCCCUAGAUGAGCUGACAGACCCUGGCUGAGCAGGAAGUGGCAGGGUCAGGAAAAGCUAGGCCACAAGUUUUCCCUUGAGAGCCUUAGAGACUGCAUCUCACCAUGUUGCUCAGGCUGUUCUCGAACUCCUGGGCUCAAGCAAUCCUCCUACCUCAGCCUCUCAAAGUGUUGGGAUUAUAGAUGUGAGCCACUGUACCCGGCCCUGGUUGCAUUCUUCAUUAUUAGGAACAUAAGAGUCUAGCCCUGUCGCCCAGGCUGGAGUGCCAUGGUUUGAACUCUACUCACCGCAACCUCCACCUCCCAGGUUCAAAUGAUUCUCCUGCCUCAGCCUCCUGAAUAUCUGGGAUUACAGGUGCCUGCCACUACACUCAGCUAAUUUUUGUAUUUUUAGUAGAGACAGGGUUUCACCAUGGUGGCCAGGCUGGUCUUGAACUCCUGACCUUGUGAUCUGCCCAUCUCGUGCUGGUAUUACAGGCGUGAGCCACUGCGCCCAGCCUAAAAUAAUUUUCAGUGAGUUAUAAGAAAACAGCUGCAUUCUGUUCUGUUUUUAGGCCUGGCCAGAGAAUACCAGGAGACUGUAAGAUGUCAUGGUACAUCAAGUCAGUCUCAAGUGUCCUAUAACCCUGGCUUGCCAUCAGCUUAGAAUGUUCUCUUUUUCUACUGACCUGCCUUCCAUCUGUGGUCUCUUCCUUCCGUCUGCUAUUUAUCAUGUACUUAUUGAUGUGUGUCCCAGAAUGUUCAGAAUCAUCUGAUUUAAAAGAUUCUGUCCCAUUUUCAGUAAAAGUAGCCCAAUAUUUUGUUGAGAAAACACAGUGACUGUGCAUAUACCUACCUACUCAUUAAGGUAUCACUUGUUGGUCACCUAGAGUAUAAAUUCAUGGCGUGGAUAUGACCUUGGUAUGAGCCUGUUCUAUACUGAUUUUGUCCCUCAUUGGGGAAAGACACUAGGAGGAUGUGUGUAUAGUGAAUAGAGGUACAGAUUGGGCACAGGCAGACUCUUUCUUGAAUCUAUUUCAUCAAUUAGUGGAUUUUUUUUCUCCUAGCCAAGUUAUUUAGCCUCUUCCUAUAUGAAAUACUCCUUCUUUUCAUCUGUUUUUGUUUUUAAAUGAGAUGACAAUUCAUGACUAGUCUUGGUCCCCUUAACACUUAGUGAGUGCUCAACAAAUGGUAGGAAUUAUUAUGGAUAACAAUAAUUAGUGUAAGUUCAAUAUGUAAAUAAAACUGCCUUUUGUUCACUAUCACAUCGCUUGUCUCAUCGGGUCUCAUCAUGAAAUAUUGGUCAUCAUUACUAUGAGAUCCAUCUAUGGUUAAUAUUACUAGUGUGACCCUAAAAUAGGAUUCAUCAACUAGGUAUGAUCAUCCGUCUAUUCUUUCCUUAAAUACAUUGAGCAAAAUCUUCAGGGGCAGCUGUAUUUUUUAACUGCACAUGCUACAGGGAUUCUGAAGUGAAACAUGGUGAAGAACCACCCAAUCAGACAUUUGAAUGGGGACUGACAGUCUUAAGUCUAAAGAAAUUUCCUCUUCCUUCAUAGUAAUUAGCAAGAAACUUCUACAAAAGUUACAAUGCCAAUUACUGGAAACGCGCAUAUCAGGAGUUCCAUGGAGGACCAUUUCCAAGCAGUAGACAUCAUGCAUCAAUCUGCUUUUUGAAAUCCAGACUGAUUUUCCAAAUCAUUUUUAAAUAAGAGGCCUCAAGCCGUAUGUAAGAAACAAGAAAAUUUGUGCCUUAAGAGCAACUAUCAACUUAAAUCAAAGAGGGGUAAGAGGUAAGCUCAGGGGAUAGAGAAGAUUAACCUAACAACAAAUAGCCUUUGCUUACUUCUGAGAUACCUAGCAAAUGCUGCCUUUUUGAAUUUUGUGCAAUUAGUUUAGUACUUCAAUUACCUAGAUAUUUUUAAGUUAAACAAGCUCUUGAGUGAUUUUUUCAUCAAUUUACAUUGAGUUAUAACAAAUGUAGGAAUAUUUGUAUUUAAAAUGCACAAGAAAAUGCAAAACAUAUCUCUAAUUUGACCACUAAAAGGCCAGUUUCUGAUGAUAACUUUUUGCCAUAUCUUAUUAACUGUAAUGUAUCUUUAAGGAUGACACAUGGAAUAGUUCCAAUGUAUAACAGAAAGGAAAUCUGAUAUUAUACUUAAGUGCAUUCUGUACUCUGUGGGGAAAGAUGCAGAAUAUAUUACAAAGAACAAUGAAGACAUGUUUCAAAAGUAAGCAUUAAUUUAUUCAUUCAUUCAUUUAUUCCCUCACACUCUUAUUCAACAAACAUUUAUUGAAAAUCCUCCCAUGCGCAAGGUGGGUGUUCUAUCUAAAUUCUAUGAAGAACAAGACAGACAAGGUCCGUCUUCUCACAGAGCUUACAUUUUAGUGAGGUAAAGUUGUCAAUAAGUAUGCAAAUUAAAAAAAUGACAGGCUCAACUAAUGCCUCCAAAAGCAACUAUUUUUAAAGCAAAAUCUGAUUGUGUUCAAGUCUAGCAAAGAGUCACAAAAAUAUAUUUUUAGAAAUGAAGAUUGUUGACAUGGUAAGGUUAUUCAUUCUUUCUAUUUUUAUAAAUAAAUCAAUUAACCCUAUUUUAUUUUAAAAAGUCAUGCAAGGUCAAAAACGUUGGGAUGAUUGGUAUUAAACUCUGGUGGAAGAAGCUCCCUGAAUGCCUCCCUGACAUCAGUCAUACAGGUCAGGAAGCAAACACCUUUCCUCUUGUUUCCUAACUGCCCUUUUUACCCAUUUCAUAGCACACACUUACUCCGGUCACCAAACUGGUUACCAUCCUCCUGUGUUCUGUUUUUGUAAGAGGGCAUUUAUUUGGCCCUAGUUACCCAAGAAAAGGCAAUUAGUCUUGACAACUGCUGCAAAGAGAAAAGACGAGAUGAUGGAAACAUUCAACACUUAAAAAUCCUUAGAUUUCAAGCAUUGGGGUUUCUGCCCCUAUAGAUUUCUGGGAGUUUGGGACAAUUAAAAUAUAUCUUUUAUUUUUUUAAAAAAAUAUAUAUAAAUGAAUGCUAAAACAACUCUUAAAAGGAAAUUGCUUUAUAUAGUCUGGCUAUGAUCAGCAAAACUGGUAUUCAUAUUUACAUUUGUUUAUUAUAUCAGUGAGGUUUGAGAAUCAUUUAAAAGAAUUGUGUUCUAAUUCAACCUAAAUUCCCUUCCUGUUAAUCUGAGCCAAAUGUCCCAAACACAGACAUGGCAGUUUUUAAAUCUCUGAAAACUAUUUAAAAACUAAUAUUAAAAAUAUAGUUUUAAAAUAUAUUGCAUAUACCUGUAUACUUAGGUAUGAAGAAAUUUCCUCUUCCUUCAUGGUAAUUAGCAAGAAACUUCUAUAAAAGUUACAAUGCCAAUUAUUAGAAACAUGCAUAUCAGGUGUCCCACGUAGGACUAUUUCCAAGCAGUAGAGAUUAUGCAUCAAUCUGCUUUUUGAAAUCCAGACUGAUUUUCCAAAACACUUUUAAAUAAGAGGCCUCAAGCCAUAUAUAAGAAACAAGAAAAGUUGUGUAUAUUUGUAUACAGGUAUAUACGAGUGCCCGUAUAUGCAAGCUGAGGUGGAGAAAUUGAAGACACAGAUUAUGUAAGCCAUUAACUCUUUAGGGGAGCAAGCUCUGAUGUUCCCACUUGAAGACGGGAGAGGGGAGUCCUCUCAUGCUUGCGUCUCACUGUAACUUUUAUGCUUUUGUCUGUGGGUGUGUUUGUUCAGUGCUUAGACUGAACAACAGUGACCUCUUUGAAACAAGAGGAUAUACAGUUCACGUGCCACAUAAUGACUUUCAGUCAAUGACAGACUGCAUAUAUAAAAAGCACAUUCUAAUAGGACCUUUGAUAAUCGUUUUGUCUUCUUGACUAUCAUCUUCUCUAGGAGAAAGUCUUCCCUGAUACUCUGCCCCCUGCCUCCACACAUACACAUACACAAACACUCAGAUAUAUCUCUACCACACAUACUCCUGGCUAGGCUAAGUGCACCCUUUUCUUUUUCUUUUUCUUUUUCUUUUUCUUUUUCUGAGACAAGGCCUUGCUCUGUUGCCUAGUCUGGAGUGAAGUGGCCUGAUCAUAGCUUACUGCAGCCUCCAACUUCUGGGCUCAGGCGAUCCUCCCACCUCAAUUUCCCAAGUAAUUGGGACUACAGGCAUGCACAAACAUGGCUGGCUAAUUAUUUUUAUUAUUAUUAUAAGUAGAGAUGGGGUCUCACUAUGGUGCCCAGGUCGAUCUCAAAGUCCUGGGCUCAAGCAACCCUCAUGCCUUGGCCUCUCAAAGUGCUAGGAUUACAGGCAUGAGCUAUCAUGUCCAGCCUAGCUACCCCUUUUCUAUACUUUCCUAGCAUCAUGUGUGGGUCUUUCUCAUACUAUCUACAGCACACUGUGAUUGUGUAUUUACCCAUAUUUCUCCCAAAUGACUAUAAACACCUCAAGGGAAAGGAUUAUAGCUUAUUCAUAUUUGAAUCCUUAGUAUUUAUGACAAUGCUUGGCUCAUAAUAAGCUCUCAAGAGAUAUUCAUUCCAUUGAAUUGAAAUGACUUCCACUUGGGUUUCACAGUAGAAUACUCAUUACUCAUCAGACUUACUCAGGGGACAAGUCUCUGGCCUCAUUUUCAUUUGCAUCUUGGCCAUGAUUUUGCCUACUGUCAAUCACCAUGAAGUACAGAAAAGCAAACUGAGCUAUGGUGAGCCAAAUUAACUGGACCUAAGAUGACCUCAUCAGCAAAGCGCCCUAAGCAAUCAAGCAAUCGGGUCAGCUAGUUGCAGCCUAUAGUUAUCGUGGAAAACUGGUUGCUACUUUGAUCUCAGCUCACCUUGCCAAAUACUCCUUUUGUUUGAAAGAUAGUCAUAACAAGUACAAAACAACACUGAGUGAAUAUUUUUAAUAUUAUAAGCACCUAGAUAAAUUUAAUUUCUAUUUCCAUUAAUGAUCUGAAUAACCUAAAUUCUUCUAAUACCUAUAUUUGUCCAAUUUUAAGGUAUUCUGACUUAGGCAGAAAUUGGGCAAUUAUCUGAUUAAUUCAGGCCAAUAUUUUUAACACUGGAUUUCUGCAUCACAAGAAUUGUUAAUUUAUUCUUAUAUCCUCAUUCCUGGUACACAAUGGGUGCUCAGAAGUAGCUAGGAUUUACUGAGAGCUUACUAUAUGCUAAACUGUACAACAAUGUGUUAUCUUACAUUAAGUCUCACAAAAAUUAAAACUCUCAAAAAACUUCGCACUAAUUGUUUGAGAUAGAUGAGAUUACAAUCUGAGUCUUAAGAAGGUUAAGUAACCCACCCAAGGUCGAAUUAAGAACUUGAGCUAUCUUUUUAAUCACUACUCUAUAUAGACAUUUGUUGAAUAAAUGGUCAGAUGCAUUUUGAUCAAGCCUAUGCUUAUUUGAAAUAUCACAUGCUUUUUUGAACUUUAUAGAUAUAUAUUAACCAUUUGGAAAAAUGUAAGAACAAAAUCUCAUGGAAAAUGUAAAUUUCAAUCUUGCAAACUAAACAUUCGAUUUAUACACUUUCAGGAUUUACUCUGUUGUGUGAAUAUGCGUACUUUAGAAUAAAACUGGUAUCAUACUAUACAAUGAAUAUCAAGUUUUAAUUCAAUAAUGUUUAAUGAAUAAUUCCCUAUGUCAUUAAUAAUCCUCUUAUGAGUAUUAUUUUAAAAGAUACAUUAUUUUACUUCAAGAAAAUUUUAUGAUUUGUAUAAUAGAACUAUAGCUUUUGGACAUUUUGGCUACUUAUAACUUUUAGUGCUUUGAUAAUAUCAUUACAAACAUCAUUACACAUAUAUUUUAUAAUUUUUAAGAAACAAAUAUGUUCUUAAAUUUGUUUUUUAAGGAAAAUUAUUAUUGGUUGAAUGAUUACAUCAAAGGGAAAUGGAUUAUUUUCAUAUGUAAUUUCAUGCUACCUCCAACAAAGGUUUUAUCCUGAUUAUAUUGUAGACCUGAAUUCAUUUAAAUUUAUGCUGAUUUUUUUAACUUUAGAGACAUAUUGCUCAUAUUCAAGUACAUUUUAAUUCAUGUUAUAAGUAUAUGACAACAUAAACAUGUUUUGACAUCCUCUACUGAAUAUAUUCUUUUUACACCACUAAGCAUUUUUAAAAUUUAGUUUUUUAUAAAAAGGACAGAUAGGCAGGCAGGCAGAGAGAGACAGAGACAGAGAUGACAAGCAUAAACAAGGAAUUGUAGCUGUGGUCUAACAGAUUACACAUUUUUAAGCACCUAAAUUUAGAAAAUUAGGUGGUAUACUUUAUUAUUGAUCAUUUGGGGUCAAACUAGCUAAUCUGGCAACUUAAUUUUCCUAGGGAUUUAUUUGAUGUAAAAAUAUGGUCUGAUCGUUCUUCAGUGGUUCUUUCCUUUUAGGAGUCUUGCUCAUGAGAACCUGUCUUAAAACUUUUACUGCUUGAAAUAUGUAGAAAGUCCAAGGGUAAAGGAGAGUGGAAUUUGUUGUUGUUUACUAUGAAGAAUUAUCAUUGAGUCAGUUCACCUUUGGCUGGCAUCUGGGGAAAGUUUGCCUGCACGACAUGAUUAACAGCUAAAAUAUUCUUACGGCCUUUAUCUCAGCAGUCUAGAAGGUUCGAAUGAAAAGAACAUUAUCCAUAGAGGAAGUAGGAGGUAAACAUUCCUAACAAAAAUGGACACUCAAUAAAUACAUGUUAAAUAAAAGAAUAAACAAAUACGUUCAAGUCGAUUCUAGUUGUGCAGUGGUAACCCUUGUCGUAUUGGAACAGUAAUGCACAUGGACCAUGAGUCCUUGUAUUCUUCUUGAGCCAGCUUGGUGAACUUGGUCAAACCACUGACACUCAAUUGCUUCACUGGUAAAACAAAGCCAAUAGCAUCCGCUAUACUUAUCCAUUAGAUUUUUUAUCCAUUAGAUUUUUUAAUAUAUAUGAAUACAAUUUAUGAAAGUACUGUAUACUAUGUACUUAGUAUAUACUUAAUUAGUAUGAAAAUAAAGUAAAAAUACCAUAGAAAAUUAGAGGUUUAUGAAUUGCUAAUACAUGAGAUAUUUACUAGGGUGUAUAUUUACUAUGUCUUCUAAAAGUAUAAGUUUGGUAAGCAGAAAUCUCUUAGGGUUUAGCAUUUCUUUAACUGAUAGCAAAAAUUUUGAAUGUUAACUAUUUAAGUGUAUCUACAGUGACUUUCCUUUUCUUCAUGAUAUUGCCUUGUUUAUCCCUUUGAUUUAUCCUCAUGUCCCACUGAAGCAAGCUAUGCACCUUAAUGCCAUCUUGUUUAUGGGGACUAAUAAAAGAAAAUUGUCUGCAAUGGGAGAUCUGCUUUAUUUACAUGCAAAUUAAAACUAUAUUCCUUCGGUUACAGGCCAAAGAUUAUUAAUGCAUGAUGUGUAACAAUUUCAGGCAAAGGCAAUCAUCAGAUAUUAAGAAAGGGAUCAAGAAAUCGAGGAGGCAAAAGAACAGAAGAAGUAAAUACCUAUAGCUUGCCCAGAAGGUAAGAAGAAAAAGAAUGCCAAAAAUGUGGACCAUUUUAUUAUUUAGUUAAGCAUUAUAGUACUGCAAAUCCUUUUUCCACCAUCUUUUCAAACUUUUGCCGUGACAGAAUUGUUUUUGAUACCCACAUAGAAAAGAUUAAAUGAGUAGAAAAGAAGAUCAAUAUGAAAAAUUUAAAGGAACUGUCAUUUUUCAGCCUAGGAAGAGAGAGAAUGCCGAAAGACUUCUAAUGUAUGGAGUUUAAACAUCAGAUGGUGAUUGAUUGCUAUUAAUUUAUGUCAGCAAAGGAGGAGAAGAAAUACGUAAAACUGCCUCUGAAGAAUUUACAUUAAACACCAAAAGAAUCUGACUCUGAAAAUGAAGAAACAAGGAAUAUUGUUUGUUUUGGGAAUCAAAAAAAAAAAAAACUUCCCAUUUGAGUACACAAUUUCCUAAACAAGAUACAUGAUAAUUCCAUACACUAUGCUUUCCGAAGAAACUUUGUAAAACGUAUUUUCAUUAUUCAAAACUUGAAAACACAGAAACAAUAUGAUGCAAAAAAUUAUCUUUAGCAUUAUUCCACUAAGAUAAUUCAUUUUAACAUCCAUAUAUUCAUUAUUAUGUAAAAUACCUAUCAGUAUGUGGGUAUAUCUUUGUGUGUAUAUUUUAACAAAACAAAAUUCAAUAAAAAUUGAAAUACAGAAAUGACAAAAACACACAAAAAAUAUAAAUUAUUUCCAUUGUAGCAUAUAUUACCUUUUUCACCUAACAUUAUACUGUAGGAAUAUAUUCUUUCAUCAUUCAAUGCUUUUGAAAAUAUAAUAAUAUUCCAUUUUAAGGACAUGCUAUAAUUUAGUUCAUUAGUUUUUAAACUUUUAGAUUAUCUCAUUUUGUCAUCAUUUAAAAAAAGUGUUCCUGGAUGUCCUUUUGCAUAGACUUUUGAAUGUAUUUCUGACUAUUUUCUUAACCUGUCCUGUACUUCUGCAAGUAGAACUGCUUGAGCAGAGAUUAGGAGCAAUUUUAAGGUUUUUCAAAAAUCUUGACAAACUAUUCUGCAGGAAAAAUGUAUCUUGUUACCAUCAGCAUUUUUAAGUAACUAGUGACUAAUUGUAAAAAUAAUUGUGUUUCCUUGUAUUUAAGCCUUGCGCUAUAGAUUUUAAAAAUUUGUCCUUUUUUUUUUUUCAUUUGUAAAAAAAAGCCAUCUAAAAGACCUUAGAACCUGGUAUCAGCUGAAGCUUACUAAACCAUAUCAAGAAGAUCAUGUCAUUCUCAAGAAAAGCAUGUUUCAAAUAAAAAGGAAAUGUCAGCCCUGAGCGUUUUUAUUAACCAUCUCCCCAUCUGACUUCAGAGACAGCUUUAGCUGACCACUUCCUCUCUCGGGUUUAUUUGUAUUAGAAAUAAGUGGAUUCAUUAACUGUGCCACUUGGUGGUCAGGCCAGGCCUGCCAGUGUCCAAUAACAGGUAAUGGUUGUAUUUUUCACGGGGUGACUGAUGUUUACUUUGUUGAUGGCCCCAGGAGCUCAUGUAAUCUGAGAUAGGUCUUUGUUUACUUCUUGUUUUACUGAUAUGCUGACCCAUUUGAAACUAGCGAGAAAGAAAAAUAAACAUUCUGGAAUAUGGUACCUGAAGUCACUCUUCCUUAGUGGCUUUAUUGUAACCUCUUCAAAGGCUUUUGUUAACCCACUCUUUUCCCAGCAAAAAACCCUGAUCUGGUCUCUUUUCCAAUUAAACCAAAAGCAAUAUCACACCAAAUAAGCAAACAGAAAAUAUUGAAAUUACCACUUAAAGAGAGUUUUAUCUGGGGUUUAAUUGUGUGUGUACUCAAGCGUUUAGUGUAGGUCAUUUGCUAAUGACAUCUAGUAAUUUUUAAAAACUGGAUAAAACUGAUACUGAGCCUGUCUACAGCAAUUUAACUAUUUUGGGGGAGUAUAAAGUUAGAUUUGUCUAUACUGACUUGUUUGCUCCAUUUUAAAAACUGUGUUGGAAUGAUUUAUUAUGGAUGAUCCAAAAUAAACGUGAAGUGAGGAAACUAUUUUUUAAUUACCACUGGUAGCAUAUUUAAUGGAAUUGUGUUAUUGUGCCAGAAACCUUAUUGAGCUAUAUUUGUUCUAUUAUCUUACUCAUCAGCACAGCAAAAGUUCAUAUUUCAAGGGUGAAGGAAGUGAGGCAUAGAGAGGUUAAAUAAUUCCCCAAAGGCAGAGGGCCGCCAAUUGGUGAAUGUCAGACAUAAUCCCACGCCUGCCUGAGGCCGGAGUCCAUAUUCUUAACAGACAUCCUCUUUUGUCUCCUUAUUUCAUGAUGCCAAAUAUGCAUGACGCUGAUAUAAAGCGUAUAUAUUGGAAUCUGUAUAUUCAAAUGAGCGAUGUCCAUUCAGUCAAACUGGAAGUAUGCCAAUUACCUUCCUAUAUUCAACACUUAGCUCAGAGAUGAUGAGGCACUUCACAGUUGUUUAAUUGCACUGAGCACCCACCCCACAAGCCCAUUUUACUUCUGUUCAAACCAGGUUUGCUAUUCUAAUUUUGGAAUUAUGUUCAUUUGCAAUCUGAGUCACAAGAGUAAAUAAACUUUAUCAGUAUAUCUUUAAAAUUAUGUAUACAUUUAUAAUGUAUUUAUGUAUAGAAAUAUAUAAACACAUUUAUAUAAACACACACAUAUCUCUAUAAAUCCACAUAUUUACACUUGACUACUAAAAAUUAGUUACAAUAUUUGUCUCUUCUAUGUGUUUUCAAAAGUUAUAUUUAAUCCCAAAGAAUUACCAUGAUGAUGUAUGACAGAUUCAAAAAGGAGAUUCAACAGAAUUUGAGGAAUUGUAACACAGUUAGAAAAACAUAGCCCCAAAGCAAACACUUUUAGGGAAUAUUCUUUAUAUUAAGUAUGAGUAUUAAAAAAUUUGAUUAGAAGUGUUUAUAUAUUACUUUAUACUUGUGUAUAUUACAUCCACACCCUGUAUACAUAAUAUAGUUAAUAUAUAUGUGUAUACAUCAUGUAUAUAGGCUGUGAAAGUAAUAUUAAUAUAUGAAUAAGUACAUAUGUACAUUUAAAAAUUGUAUGUACUCAAAAUGCAUAUUUUUUCAGAAGACUGACAAUUACAUUCUAGCACAAAACUUAUUCAAAACCUCUAGUCCAUAAGACAUGAGAAUCAGCAGGUUCCACUUGUGCCCCGUGGGUCUGUAGCCGAUUCAGGGUGGCAACUGCCACAUCUUCCCCUCCUGAUUUAUUUGCUUUCGGUCAGUUUGGCAGCUGCCCCCACAACAGCCUGAGAACGCAAUCUAUACUUCACAGAAAGGCAUUUGGAAUAGAAGAGGGUUUCUGAGGGCAUUUAAAAAAAUAAAUGAAAUAAAGAUGUUGCUAAAAGCUAUCCUCUCAGAUUCACAAGGCUGACAGGAAAACAAAGUUUCAACUUGCAAACAGCAUGAACUGGCCAAGUGGUUUGCUCUGUCAUGGACAGCAGCAAGGCUGGCAUGCAGUCUUGCUGUGCUCACACUAUUGGCCCUGUGAAAACUCAGGCCAGAUCUCCUGUCCAGACAAGAGCCUGGGUUAUUGGGAGAAAAAUCCAUUUUAACUAUUACAUUCAUUUUCAUUUUUCCAGGAAUACAAUCCAAAAUCGCAGGGAGCACUUGGAAACAAUUCUUGGCAACUGUAUUCAGUUGAAGAAACUCAGAAUAUGAAAGCAUUAACAUAGAGUGCAACCAAAACACAAAUAAGAAUCACCCAAGCUGGGCUACAAGAAUAGCUACUGUUUACUCUGAGUGGAUAUUUAUGAAGAGCCGUAGUAAGAAAGAUCUUUUUGAUGAUAACAGAGCGGUGUAUGGCAUGAUAUUAAUUCUGCCUCAUUAGUGAAAUGAAAAACUCUGAGAUAGGUGUGACAAAGAAAAUUAUCACUGUUUCUCAUUCAGUGUUAAUUUCGCUUCUUGAAUUAAAUUCUGCUCAUUCUCUUCGGUGCAUUUAAAAUUAUUCCUUUCUUUUGAUACAUAUAUAUAUCUAUAUCCUAUGGAAUACUACUCAGGCAUAAAAAUGAAUGAAAUCAUGUGUUUUGCAGCAGCAUGGAUGAAUCUGGAGGCCAUCAUCCUAAGUGAAAUAACUCAGAAACAUGUUCUCACUUAUAUCACAAAUAUCUCACUCACAAAUAUCACAUGUUCUCACUUAUAAGUGGGAGCUAAACAGUUAAUACACAUGGACAUAGAGAGUGGAAUAAUAGGCAUUGGAGAACUCCAAAAGAAGGAAAAGUGGGAGCAGGGGUGAGAAAUGAGAAAUUACUUCAUGGGUACAGUAUACAUAUUCAAGUGAUGGGUACACUAAAAGUGCAGAAUUCACCACAAUGCAAUAUAUCCAUGUAACAAAACUGCACUUGUACCCCCCAAAUCUAUACACAUGAAAAAAAAUUGUUCCUUUCCAAUAUCAGCAUGUAUUAGAAUCAGGAAUGGUUUAUACAUUAAACACUAUAAGCACAGCCCUUAUGGAAUGUGAGCCUUUUGAAGAUACAUUAUUUGGAUAGAGCUUGAAUUUUUUUUUUUAAAAAAGAACAAUAAUAGUAACAUGCAUUGAGUGUUUACUUUGUACCAGGUAUGCUAUGAGGGUUUUACAUCCAUUAACUCUCUUGAUCCCCACACCACCCUUUGGGCAAGGUACUUAAAUUAUCAUCAUAUGCAAAACUUGACAUGUAGAGAGAAUAAGGAACUCGCUCAAGGUUAGACUGAUAAUAAGUGACGGAGCUGAUCUUCUAACCCCUGGAGUUGACUUUGCCACCACACUGCCUUCUCACACAUGUUCAGAACUCUCAAUCUUUUCUCAACAGAAGAACCCCAAAGUCUGUUUUGUGUCUUUUUCUAUUCAAACACCCAGACAGAGGGAAGAGCAAAGGUCCUAUGGCCCAGGGAAGUCUGGCUUGAUGGAGAAAAUGAAAGCUGAUAGAUGUGGAUGAAAAAACAAACUGCGGUCAAACUAACAUGAAAAAAGGGCCAACUAGGUAGGACCUUACCGGGUAGGUCCAGAUUUUGAUCUUUAACCUUGGAACAAUGAGAAGCCCAUGAGGCAUUUAGCCAAUUAACGGUUUAUAAAGUUCACUUUGGAAGCAAUUAGAAAAUCAGCAUGAAAUGGAGGGGGCUGAGUGGAUAUCAGGAGAAGGCUGAGGCUAACUCAGCAGCCCAGGAAGAGAAGCAAGGUCUUAGAUUAAGGGACUGGUGAUGUGAGAGUGUUCAGUGAAGCUCAGGCAGCCUCCGCUUCUU